rnacentral:rRNA from 1 species
UGGGGAAUUUUGGACAAUGGGGGCAACCCUGAUCCAGCAAUGCCGCGUGUGCGAAGAAGGCCUUCGGGUUGUAAAGCACUUUUGUCCGGGAAGAAAUCGUAGAUGUGAAUAAUGUUUAUGGAUGACGGUACUGGAAGAAUAAGCACCGGCUAACUACGUGCCAGCAGCCGCGGUAAUACGUAGGGUGCGAGCGUUAAUCGGAAUUACUGGGCGUAAAGCGUGCGCAGGCGGUUUUGUAAGCUUGAUGUGAAAUCCCCGGGCUUAACCUGGGAACUGCAUUGAGGACUGCAAGGCUAGAGUGCGUCAGAGGGGGGUAGAAUUCCACGUGUAGCAGUGAAAUGCGUAGAGAUGUGGAGGAAUACCGAUGGCGAAGGCAGCCCCCUGGGAUGACACUGACGCU